GUGAGGAAUAUUGGUCAAUGGAGGCAACUCUGAACCAGCCAUGCCGCGUGCAGGAAGACGGUCCUAUGGAUUGUAAACUGCUUUUAUUUAGGAAUAAACCCCCGGUCGUGCACCGGGGCUGAAUGUACUAAAAGAAUAAGCACCGGCUAACUCCGUGCCAGCAGCCGCGGUAAUACGGAGGGUGCAAGCGUUAUCCGGAAUCAUUGGGUUUACAGGGUCCGCAGGCGGGUAAAUAAGUCAGAGGUGAAAUCCGGCAGCUCAACUGUCGCACUGCCUUUAAUACUGUUUAUCUUGAAUUGUAGUGGAGUUGGCGGAAUAUGUCAUGUAGCGGUGAAAUGCUUAGAUAUGACGUGGAACACCGAUAGCGAAGGCAGCUCACUAACUAUGAAUUGACGCUCAUGGACGAAAGCGUGGGUAGCAAACAGGAUUAGAAACCCCAGUAGUCC
rnacentral:rRNA from 1 species